GUUUGGCACCUCGAUGUCGGCUCAUCACAUCCUGGGGCUGAAGCCGGUCCCAAGGGUAUGGCUGUUCGCCAUUUAAAGUGGUACGCGAGCUGGGUUUAGAACGUCGUGAGACAGUUCGGUCCCUAUCUGCCGUGGGUGUUGGAAUGUUGAGAGGAUUUGCCCCUAGUACGAGAGGACCGGGGUGAACGUACCUCUGGUGGAGCUGUUGUCGCGCCAGCG
rnacentral:rRNA from 1 species